rnacentral:rRNA from 1 species
ACAUGCCUACAACAUAGCAUUAAUGCACAUGAUCCCAUUAGAACUCUGCAGUUAAGCGUGCUCAAGCUAGAGUAGUACUGGGAUGGAUGACCACCUGGGAAGUCCUAGUGUUUUACAUGCU